AUGAACGCUAGCGGGAGGCUUAACACAUGCAAGUCGAGGGGCAGCAUUUCUAGCUUGCUAGAAGAUGGCGACCGGCGGACGGGUGCGUAACGCGUAUGCAACUUGCCUAUAACUAAGGGAUAACUCAGAGAAAUUUGCGCUAAUACCUUAUGUGAUCAUAAUGACGCAUGUUAUAAUGAUUAAAGAAUUUCGGUUAUAGAUAGGCAUGCGUCCUAUUAGCUAGUUGGUAAGGUAACGGCUUACCAAGGCGACGAUAGGUAGGGGCCUGAGAGGGUGAUCCCCCACACUGGUACUGAGACACGGACCAGACUCCUACGGGAGGCAGCAGUGAGGAAUAUUGGUCAAUGGAGGCAACUCUGAACCAGCCAUCCCGCGUGAAGGAUUGAAGGCGCUCGACGUCGUAAACUUCUUUUAUAUAGGAAUAACCGUAAGUACGUGUACUUACCUGAAUGUACUAUAUGAAUAAGCAUCGGCUAACUCCGUG
rnacentral:rRNA from 1 species